rnacentral:rRNA from 1 species
UACGUAGGGGGCAAGCGUUGUCCGGAAUCAUUGGGCGUAAAGAGCGUGUAGGCGGCUCGGUAAGUCCGCUCUGAAAGCCCGGGGCUCAACCCCGGGAGGCGGGCGGAUACUGUCGGGCUAGAGUCCGGAAGAGGCGAGUGGAAUUCCUGGUGUAGCGGUGAAAUGCGCAGAUAUCAGGAAGAACACCUAUGGCGAAGGCAGCUCUCUGGGACGGUACUGACGCUGAGACGCGAAAGCGUGGGGAGCGAACAGG